UCCUGGUGGCUCAGAAGGUAAAGAAUCUGCCUGCAGUGCAGGAGACCCAGGUUCGAUCCCUGGAUUGGGAA
rnacentral:tRNA from 1 species